rnacentral:rRNA from 1 species
UACGUAGGGGGCGAGCGUUGUCCGGAUUUAUUGGGCGUAAAGGGCUCGUAGGCGGUUUGUCGCGUCGGGAGUGAAAACCUCGGGCUUAACUCGGGGCUUGCUUUCGAUACGGGCAGACUGGAGGUAUGCAGGGGAGAACGGAAUUCCUGGUGUAGCGGUGAAAUGCGCAGAUAUCAGGAGGAACACCGGUGGCGAAGGCGGUUCUCUGGGCAUGACCUGACGCUGAGGAGCGAAAGUGUGGGGAGCGAACAGG